rnacentral:lncRNA from 1 species
GAGAACUGUCAGUGUGAGGUUGAUGGUUGGACUAGGUGACCUUCAAGAUCUUUUCCAACUGAAAUGUUUCUGUGAAUAUGUAGAGUAUGUCUGUUAGUGUAAUCUAAUACCCACUAGUGCCUUUGUAUUAUUAUAGGUCAUGGGGGGAGUUUUGCUCCUGUGGGUGGUGGAUUAUCUAAUGCAGGUGGAGCAGCUGAUGUAGCUCAUGUUUUCUGGUUGUUUUGUUUGUUUGCAAGAGACUCUGGUAGCUUUGGAAUCACGUUGUGCUAAGAUUUCAGUCAUCGUUAUGUGCUAACUUUUCAUUUUCUUUUGAGACACAGGGCACAAAGGAUGAAGGGAGUAUUGAAGGAGUCUGUGUUUCAGGCAAAGCUGGCUCCGAUCAAGGCGACAGAUAUCAGGGUAGUGAAAUGCUUCAUAAAAGGUGCCGAGAGGUGAUUGAAAACAUCGAGGGCCACAACUUGCAGCUUCUUCACAGGCUGCAAAAACUGGAGCAGGAACACGAGGAUUUGGUUGAGCGCAAUGAAGAGCUGGAAUCAAUUCUGGGAGAGACACAGCUCCAAACCAAGCAGGAGAAGGACCAGUUUGAGAGUGAGGUGGAGGGACUUCACCGGAAAAUCACAAGUUUAGAAACAGAGUUACUUGAAGUGCAGAAGAACAAAACUGAGAUGAGUGGGGAAGAGCAAUCAUCGUCUGGAGCCCAAGAGAUGCAAGAGAUGUUGGAAAGCUGUCAGGAAACGAUAGAAAAGUUGGGAAGUCAUCUGGGAGAGCGGAGAGAAUGGAGAAAGCAACUUGCAUCUGAGCUUGAACUGUUACGAGAAGAUCUGAAGGCUGAGAAGGUAUUGAGCAGCCAGGUACGUAGAGCUCCUGCAGUGGGAUUCCCUGCAGGAGACAUUUGCCUUUGGGUAACUCCAUAAAACAUCCCCAGUUGCUCCCCAAGUGCAUGGCUUGACUUCUGUUGAUGCAUUUCUCUAGUCCAGCCCAUUUCAAAGCUUCUUUGGCAGAUGGUUUUAAAUCCAUCUGCUUUAAUAGAACUGUUUCUGACUGUAACUUAUUUUUCCUUUCAGUGAAUCUAACAACAAAACAGUAAUUCCAACUUUGUAGCCAAAGCCCUCUUCUCUAGAGAACAGAGUGAAAGUUUUCAGACUUGGGUAUUUACUGCAGAGUUACAUGUGAUCAUGAGCCUUUGUCUCUCCAUGUCACGACAUGGCAGGGUGCUUGUAGAUUUGAGCCAAGACCUUCCUGCAGAGCAACAGCAUGGUUACCCGUUAACAGCGAUUGCUUUUCUGAGGUUGAUCAUCUGGCUAAUUCUGAAUCUGUUUAACGUGGGUCCUCUUUAAUAUCAAUAGUAUUCGUAACCAGAAUAUGGCAUGUUAAGAAGUCAGAAGAUGUAAAAGUCAGAGAAGUCUACGCAAGCAGCUUGCUGGGAUCCCAGCGCUGCUUUUUGUUAUGUGCCCCAGGGACCUCAGUCCACUUUGGCUGAAGGAAUUUAACUGCUGGAUAGACUUCUGGGGGGUUUAUCUCUGCUGGGAUUGUUGCUGGUGCUCUCGUCUUCCAGUUGAGCCGUAGAAGAGAGACAGCAUGUGACAGCACAAUUGCACAAGGGCUGGUGUAGGCAGGAGAGGGGCUGAAAAUGAGGCUAAAAAUAUAGGAGAGCUUCAGAUGUGUGGCCUGGAUCAGGCAGAUGAGGGGGUUCCAUCUGUUACAAAACUAAUUUUUUAGCACUCUGAGAGGCCUUAAACCAGCUGUGAGUCACAUAAUUUCAUCGAACGUAAGUAAAAAACAAUGAAUGUCCUGAACUGUUGGCACAACUGCACAUACACAAGAGUCUGACUGGAGGAACAGUGGCAUCUAGAGGACAGAACUUUUGGAGUGCUGUUAAGCAACAGCUCCACAGUGUAAAAGCUUGGGAUGCAGAUCAAGCCUUGCUGAUGGUGGUUUAGGAAGGGGCUAGGUCAGUCUGUGAAUAUGCACGUGAAAAGGAAUUCUCUGAUUUGAGGGAUGGUGGGGAAAACAGGAGUCGUCACUCUUUAACUUUUGUAUCCCAACAGUUCAAUCUACUCAUGAUCCAGGGACCUUUUAAUCAAAAUCCUACAUCCCUGUAAGCUUGGUUGUAAUUCAGCCACUGGUGGCCUGGUGGUUUUGCCUAAGCAAAGGACUAUUUUCCGAUCAAAGGAUCAGAUGGGUUCAUUCCCUUUUGAUAGAGCAGCUGUAUGGGGACGAAUCAUUUACCAACAAAGUAUUGGAAGUUAGCUUGGUAUGAAAUCAUUGAGUUCUCCUGGGAGUUACACACUGGAGGUCAAGAUUUGAGGUGGUUCAGUGUUUGUCAGGAUGUCUAACACCUAGAAUGAGUGAGUAAAUUGGAUAGUAUUUUUGGUUUUGUGAAUUUAAUGAUGUGCUAUGAUGUGAAGAGCUCGUUGCAUUUUUUGGGAACUCUCCUUGUUUUCAAGAGGUUUUCGGACAUUUGAGAGGAGAAAGCUUUUUCUGAGCUUGUAGUUUGGGGUGUAUUACAUCCACUAACUCCUGUUGUUUCCUCGCCAGGGGUUGCCCGACUCAAAAUCAGAGCUUACAAGCCAUUGUAAUAGCUUCCUGAAUCUCCAAAGAACAUCAGCAAGCAGGGAUCUAAUUAAUGUAUCCCAUGAGACACUACAAAAAGAUAGUGCUUUGUUAGAUACGAAGGUGAGGAGUGUAAAGAAAUCCCUGUUGUUCUGGUGUCUGACACAGACAGAAGCUGGUGGUGUAUGUUGCUCAAAUGUUUGUAAAUUCAUCUUGGUGUAGAUAAGAACACCUGGAACUGAAAUAUUAGUACUAGCAUACAGUCAGGAAGAGCUAUGGAUUAAAAAGCUUUAGGAAUCAAAAAAGUUGCUAGUGCUUAGUGGGCUGAAUAGUAUUUUAAUUUGAAGGAUUUUGGUUCACCUCUGCUUAGCAGGAGAUAUUAGACCAGGCAGAUUCUGGUCCUGAGCCAGUCUGGGCAUUUCUGUGUCCUUAUGCACUCCUUGUGCCUUCCUUUCUUGCCCAUUUUAUUUUCUUGGUAUCUUCUCUUCACAUCUCAGGUUUUGGGUCUGCCAUUGCUUGGUGUUAAGGGUUUAGGAGACAUUGAAAGCGGAGAGCAGCCAUCUGCAGAAAGUUGUUUUGGGUUGACUUGGAUGGAGGAUGCUCUCCAUGUGCGACAGCUGAAUACCCACCUUGUAUUCUCCCUGUUUUCCCAGGAGUUGUUAGUUUUUUUAAGAGAUACAGCACAUGAUAUGAAGUGCUGAGAACUGCAGAUGAGCAACAGAAGAACGAAAUCAAAUAAAGAAAUGUGAUGUGAUAGUAGUUUACA